AUUGAACGCUGGCGGCAGGCCUAACACAUGCAAGUCGAACGGUAACAGGAAGCAGCUUGCUGCUUCGCUGACGAGUGGCGGACGGGUGAGUAAUGUCUGGGAAGCUGCCUGAUGGAGGGGGAUAACUACUGGAAACGGUAGCUAAUACCGCAUAAUGUCGCAAGACCAAAGAGGGGGACCUUCGGGCCUCUCGCCAUCGGAUGUGCCCAGAUGGGAUUAGCUUGUUGGUGGGGUAACGGCUCACCAAGGCGACGAUCCCUAGCUGGUCUGAGAGAAUGACCAGCCACACUGGAACUGAGACACGGUCCAGACUCCUACGGGAGGCAGCAGUGGGGAAUAUUGCACAAUGGGCGCAAGCCUGAUGCAGCCAUGCCGCGUGUAUGAAGAAGGCCUUCGGGUUGUAAAGUACUUUCAGCGGGGAGGAAGGGAGUAAAGUUAAUACCUUUGCUCAUUGACGUUACCCGCAGAAGAAGCACCGGCUAACUCCGUGCCAGCAGCCGCGGUAAUACGGAGGGUGCAAGCGUUAAUCGGAAUUACUGGGCGUAAAGCGCACGCAGGCGGUUUGUUAAGUCAGAUGUGAAAUCCCCGGGCUCAACCUGGGAACUGCAUCUGAUACUGGCAAGCUUGAGUCUCGUAGAGGGGGGUAGAAUUCCAGGUGUAGCGGUGAAAUGCGUAGAGAUCUGGAGGAAUACCGGUGGCGAAGGCGGCCCCCUGGACGAAGACUGACGCUCAGGUGCGAAAGCGUGGGGAGCAAACAGGAUUAGAUACCCUGGUAGUCCACGCCGUAAACGAUGUCGACUUGGAGGUUGUGCCCUUGAGGCGUGGCUUCCGGAGCUAACGCGUUAAGUCGACCGCCUGGGGAGUACGGCCGCAAGGUUAAAACUCAAAUGAAUUGACGGGGGCCCGCACAAGCGGUGGAGCAUGUGGUUUAAUUCGAUGCAACGCGAAGAACCUUACCUGGUCUUGACAUCCACGGAAGUUUUCAGAGAUGAGAAUGUGCCUUCGGGAACCGUGAGACAGGUGCUGCAUGGCUGUCGUCAGCUCGUGUUGUGAAAUGUUGGGUUAAGUCCCGCAACGAGCGCAACCCUUAUCCUUUGUUGCCAGCGGUCCGGCCGGGAACUCAAAGGAGACUGCCAGUGAUAAACUGGAGGAAGGUGGGGAUGACGUCAAGUCAUCAUGGCCCUUACGACCAGGGCUACACACGUGCUACAAUGGCGCAUACAAAGAGAAGCGACCUCGCGAGAGCAAGCGGACCUCAUAAAGUGCGUCGUAGUCCGGAUCGGAGUCUGCAACUCGACUCCAUGAAGUCGGAAUCGCUAGUAAUCGUGGAUCAGAAUGCCGCGGUGAAUACGUUCCCGGGCCU
rnacentral:rRNA from 1 species